rnacentral:SRP_RNA from 1 species
GUUCAUGGUGGCUCGUGCCUGUAGUCCCAGCUACUCAGGAGGCUGAGGCUGGAGGAUCGCUUGAGCUCAGGAGUUCUAGGCUGCAGUGCACUAUGCCGAUCGGGUGUCCGCACUAACUUCGGCAUCAAUAUGGUGACCUCCCUGGAGCAGGGGACCACCAGGUUGCCUAAGGAGGGGUGAACCAGACGAGGUUGGAAACGGAGCAGGUCAAAACUCCCAUGCUGAUCAGUAGUGGGAUUGCGCCUUGAAUAGCCAAGGUACUCCAGCCUGGGCAACAUAGGCAGACCCUGUCUCUU